GUUUCCUGAUGAGUUUCUGGUCUCAGUCUCUAUUUCAGUCUUCUUCCAUACAGCAUGAUGUUCAUUUAGUAACUGAUGGUCCCAUUUAGAGUAAAACAGACCAUAAAGCAGGGUAUGCUUUAGGGCGGGGCUACCUUGUGAUUGACAGCUCAUUCUCAGUGAGUCCG